rnacentral:rRNA from 1 species
GCAGUCGAACGCGAAAGCCUCCUUCGGGGGGCAAGUAGAGUGGCGCACGGGUGAGUAACACGUAGGUAAUCUACCUUUGGAUUGGGAAUAACCACCGGAAACGGUGGCUAAUACCGAAUAAUGCAGCGGCACCUAAUGGUGACAGUUGUUAAAGCGGGGGAUCGCAAGACCUCGCGUCUGAAGAGGAGCCUGCGGCAGAUUAGCUAGUUGGUAAGGUAACGGCUUACCAAGGCGAUGAUCUGUAGCCGGCCUGAGAGGGCGGUCGGCCACACUGACACUGACAUACGGGUCAGACUCCUACGGGAGGCAGCAGUCGGGAAUUUUGGGCAAUGGGCGAAAGCCUGACCCAGCAACGCCGCGUGAAGGAUGAAAUCCCUCGGGAUGUAAACUUCGCAAGAACGGGAAGAAUAAGUAAGAGUUAACAUCUCUUACGAUGACGGUACUGUUUGUAAGCUCCGGCUAACUCCGUGCCAGCAGCCGCGGUAAUACGGGGGGAGCAAGCGUUGUUCGGAUUUACUGGGCGUAAAGGGCGCGUAGGCGGCCACCGCAAGUCGACUGUGAAAUCUCCGGGCUUAACCCGGAAAGGUCAGCCGAUACUGCGGGGCUAGAGUGCAGAAGGGGCAACUGGAAUUCUCGGUGUAGCGGUGAAAUGCGUAGAUAUCGAGAGGAACACCUGCGGCGAAGGCGGGUUGCUGGGCUGACACUGACGCUGAGGCGCGAAAGCUAGGGGAGCGAACGGGAUUAGAUACCCCGGUAGUCCUAGCCUUAAACGAUGAAUGCUUGGUGUCUGGGGUUUUAUAGUCCCCGGGUGCCGUCGCUAA